CAAGGGAGAAGGAGCUCUCCUACAGCAAAUUAAGGGAAGAGGCCUGACUAAGUUCUGCUUCAGCAAUAAUCCAUGGACAUCUGUCUACAAGAGCUGAGGCUCUGGACUUAAGUGGUGUUUUGUAGGGCUGUGCGAAGCUUCGGUCUCAAUCAGGGAGCGGUGGCUGCAUGGUGGGGGCUCUGCCAGGAGGCCUCAGAGUCCCCACAUCCCCUGCUACAGCUGGUGAUUGCCCUUGUCAGCAUUCAAUAUUGUUUCUCUCUCAUCUAAUUUUUUUUGAUUGAAGAUACUGCAGUGACAUGAGGAAGGUAAAAUGCACUGACUGCCUGAGAGAAGUUCAUCAGAAAAAGAGAUAAUAGAGAUUCAAUUUCCUUGACUUUUUGCUUUAAAUGUAAGCAUCUCUACAAUUGAAUUUGAGAAGAGUUUAGGCAAUUUAGCAGAUUGCCUAAUUCCUUUUGGUGAAGCGGGAUGUACACAUGGGCAUUUCAACUUUUGCUUAUGGUUUUUAGGUUAGGGCCUUUUUCAGGUAGCAAAAACUGUGGUUCAGUUGAAAAUUAAGUUUCACUAAAGUAGAAGAAACGUUUGAUUUAAUUAAGCAGAAAAAGUUUUGUUUCUUGUGCCUCAUUUUUUUGAAUUUUAAAUCAUUGUCAAAGGGUUGAGGAUAAAGCCAAGAAACAAUGUACAUUGAUGUGCUCUCUAUUUUCUGCACAUUCUCAUUACCUUAAAACUUCCUUUGAUCAAGUGUUGUAUUCUAUUCUCUAAGAGACCAAUUUCAACUGUGCUAAGUCCACAAUGGUAUGAUUCUAUUUUGAAAGUAAUAUGUUAUGGUGGACAGAAUAUAAAU